rnacentral:rRNA from 1 species
UCAAAUUUGUAAUCUGGCACUUUCAGUGUCCGAGUUGUAAUCUCGAGAAGUAUUUUCCGCGCCGGACUGCAUACAAGUCUGUUGGAAUACAGCGUCAUAGUGGUGAGAACCCCGUAACUGAUGCAGAUGCCCGGUGCUUUGUGAUAUACUUUCGAAGAGUCGAGUUGUUUGGGAAUGCAGCUCAAAUUGGGUGGUAAAUUCCAUCUAAAGCUAAAUAUUGGCGAGAGACCGAUAGCGAACAAGUACCGUGAGGGAAAGAUGAAAAGCACUUUGGAAAGAGAGUUAACAGUACGUGAAAUUGUUGGAAGGGAAACGCUUGAAGUCAGACUUGCUAUUUGGAAUUCAGCCGCAAGGUGUACUUUUCAAUUCGCAGGCCAGCAUCAGUUUUUGGGGGUGGAAAAGGGUAGAGAGAAGGUAGCAGUUUCGGCUGUGUUAUA